rnacentral:rRNA from 1 species
CGGGACGGGUGAGUAACGCGUGGGCAACCUGCCUCAUACAGGGGGAUAACAGUUAGAAAUGACUGCUAAUACCGCAUAAGACCACGGUACUGCAUGGUACAGUGGUAAAAACUCCGGUGGUAUGAGAUGGGCCCGCGUCUGAUUAGCUAGUUGGUGAGGUAACGGCUCACCAAGGCAACGAUCAGUAGCCGACCUGAGAGGGUGACCGGCCACAUUGGGACUGAGACACGGCCCAAACUCCUACGGGAGGCAGCAG